UCCCGGGCGAAUUCGGGCCUCUAAUAUCCCCUCCAAGGAAGCGCCGCCCCUUCCUACGGCUACGGGAAGGAUCGUCCAGCGGCUGAGGCUGGACAGAGCACAGUAGAGACGGGGUUUCACCAUGUUGGCCAGGAUGGUCUCAAUCUUCUGACCUCAUGAUCCGCCCACCUUGGCCUCCCAAGAUGCUGGGAUUACAGAGAAGGAACACUGGGAGGAGUUCAGCCGGGGACAGUCGAAGAAUUGGCCGCUGGAUGGCCAAACUCCAGGGGAAGAUCAUCUUCCCAUUCUAUCCCCUUUAUAGCUCCCCAUCCAUCCCAUGGAGAGCCACCUCCACCACUCAAUAAAACCCCCACAUUCACCAUCCUUCAAGUCCAUGUGUCACCUGAUUCUUCUGGGACACUGGACAAGAGCUUGGGAUACAGAAAGCUGUCACACUGGCCCUCUGCAAAAAGACCCUUGCAAAAAGGCAGAGGGUCCACUGAACUUGUUAACACUUACGCCGUACAUGGGACAGCAAGGCUAAAAGAGUGCACUGUAGCACACGCCCACUUGGGCUCAGGGAGUCACAGCCUCCGACCCCUGGACACUGCUGUGGGGCCAGAGCCCAGUACCUGGCUCCUGCACCUGUUUGUCUGCAUGCUCCCCAUCCCAUAAGGGAUUUGAGCAGCAGUGGUGACUGAACAGAUAAGCCACACCCCUGUCGCAUGUCCUGCAAGGGGGGUCAGGUAACUCAUCCGUUUCACUAAUUAGCACAAUAGCUGAGGUCACGGGACCUCGGCUUAGCCUGGGUUUGGAUCCCAACUCUGUCUCCUAUUAGCUAUAUGAUUUGAGGGCAUUAGUUACUUUUUCUAAUGCCUAUCUACUUUCACUUUGCUCAAAUCUUGAGUGUGCUGUGAUCUCUGACUCUUACACCUCCCUGCUUACUGCCACCUAGAGCUGUUCUGUGUUAGGUGGCCAAGGGAGGGUUAGAUAAUUCUCCCCCAUAUAAAUAACCGAUGAAUUCACACUAUUCAUUCAGCAAGUGUGACAGGACACUCAAGUUUCAGCUUAGUGUUUCCCUUAACCCUAGACAGUUAUGGUUCCUGCUCUUACAUGGAAUCUCAUGAGUGGAAACAAAAGCAGCUAUAAUCAGUAUAUGUUAUUUAAUGUUUUUAAGGCUACAUUUUAUACUUAUGUUAAUAUAAAAGGAAACUUAUUUAAUUAUCACAGUAAAUAAUCUGUGAGGUAAACAAAACAUAACCCCAUUUUAUGGAAGAGUAAAGUCAAAUGUAAAGCAGUUAUUUAUACAAUAUCUCUGGAGCCAAGACAUGAACCUACACGGUUCCUGACUCAGUGGGGCUGUCACAGGUGUUUGAACCAGAGCAACUUCAUCUUGAAUAGGGGCUGGGUAAAAUAAGGCUGAGACCUACUGGGUUGCAUUCCCAGACAGUUAAGGGAUUCUAAAUCACAGGAUGAGAUAGGAGGUCAGCACAAGAUAGAGGUCAUAAAGACCUUGCUGAUAAAACAGGUUGCAGUAAAGAAGCCAGCUAAGGCUGGGCGCGGUGGCUCACGCCUGUAAUCCCAGCACUUUGGGAGGCGAAGAUGGGCGGAUCACGAGGUCAGGAGAUGGAGACUAUCCUGGCUAACACGGUGAAACCCCGUCUCUACUAAAAAUACAAAAAAAUUAGCCGGACGUGGUGGUGGGCGCCUAUAGUUCCAGCUACUCGGGAGGCUGAGGCAGAAGAAUGGCGUGAACCCGGGAAGCGGAGCUUGCAGUGAGCCAAGAUCACGCCACUGCACUCCAGCCUGGGCGACGGAGCCAGACUCCAUCUCAAAAAAAAAAAAAAAAAGCGGGCUAAAACCCACCAAAACCAAGAAGGCCACGAGAGUGACCUCCGAUCACCCUCACCGCUACACUCCCACCAGCACCAUGACAGUUUACAAGUGCCAUGGCAAUGUCAAGAAAUUACCCUGUAUGGUCUAAAAAGGGGAGGCAUGAAUAAUCUACUCCUUGUUUAGCAUAUAAUCAAUGAAUAACCAUAAAAAUGGGCAAGCAGCAGCCCUUGGGGCUGCUCUGUCUAUAGAGUAGCCAUUCUUUUAUUCCUCUACUUUCUUAAUAGACUUGCUUUCACUUUACUCUAUGGACUCGCCCUGAACUCUUUCUUGGCAAGAUCCAAGAACCCUCCCUUGGGGUUUGGAUCCAGACCUCUUUCCUGUAACAGGGCCACUUUCUCCCUGCCCAUUGGCAGAAGAUGAAAUUUUCCGCCUCCAAAUGUUUGUCUUCCCUGGAUUUAAGCUAGUCUGACCUGCCUCAAGGUUAGAAAUUCAGGUUGAAAAGUUAAUGAAUGUAUUUGUAUUUUGUAUUUAUGUGAAUAAAGUAUAAAACUUUAUACGUGAGGAGCCCAGAGGAGGGUGAGAUUCUGGAAACUUGGAUAGGUAAGGGAAGGUCUCCUGGGCUUCAGCCUGGCUGUAACAAGUAAUCUAGAUGGAGGUUGGUUCCCUUGAGAGAGGUGAAGAAAGAAUGUAACAAUGAGUUGGGCACGACAGCCAAAGUAGAGAGAUGAGGGCCUUUAAUGGUAAUAGUAGUAGUUGAGGCCACAGCUAUGCUAAUCACUGUUCAUGUAUUUAAACUUGUUUAAUCCCUACAUAAACCUAUGAAUUCUGAGCUAUUGUUACCCCUUUACAAAUGAAGUAACUGAAACCCAGAAAAGUUUAGUCUAUCUAUGUCACACUACUGGUAAGUGAUUGCAUCAGAAUCCUAAACUCUGCAAUCUGUCUCCUUCCAGAGCCCGAGGGGAUAUGGCUGAAAAGUAAUUAGAAUUAGACAGUAAAAGGAUUUGAAUACUUCGAAUACAGAGUAGUCUAAUAUGAUGGUUAAUUUUAUGUCUUAACUUCACUGGGUUAAAGGAUAUCCAGAAAGCUGGUUAAACAUUAUUUCUGGGUGUGCCUGAGAGGAUGUUUCCAGAAGAGAUUAACAUUUGAAUCAGUAGUCUGAGUAGAGAGGAAUUUGCUCUCACCAAGGUGUGUGGGCAUCACCCAAGCCGUUGAGGGCCUAGAGAGAAUAAAACUGUGGGAGGAGGGUGAAUUCACUCUCUCUUCUGGAGCUGAGACAGCCAUCUUCUGCCCUCAGACAUCUAAGCCCCAGGUUAUCAAGCCUUCAGACUCUGGGGCUUAUACCAGCGCUCCCCCAACUCCCCAACACACACCACUGGCUUUCCUAAUUCUCCAACUUGCAGACAGCAGAUCAUGAGAUUUGUCACCCUCCAUAAUCAUGUGAAUCAAUUCCCAUAAUAAAUCUCUUAUCUAUCUAUUUAUCUAUGGGUAUAGAAUACACACACACACACACACACACACACAUAUAUACACAUAUCUUUUUGGUUCUGGUUCUUUGAAGAAUCCACACUAAUACAUCCGGUCUUCUGGACUGGACCCAUAAAUCAAAGGAAUCAUACUCCAAUGGCAGACUUCCAGACCUUAACAGUUGGAAGGUCGAAGAGAAUUUUCUUCUUUGGGAAGGGAGGGUGCUUUUCUUUCCCGCUUUUCACAACAAGCCAGUCUUUACCUUCCAGAUGUUAUACCCCCACCUUCAAGGAUGACUCCAUAAUACUUGAAAGGGACAGUUUGUGUGACCAGCACAAAUUUCUCAUUUUAGAACCAAACUAGAAGUAAACAGUCAUAUGAGUCUAUGUAAAGAAAGAAGAGGCCAGGUGUGGUGGCUCACACCUGUAAUCCCAGCAUUUUGGGAGGCUGAGGCAGGCAGAUCACCUGAGGUCAGGAGUUCGAGACCAGCUUGGCCAACAUGGUGAAACCUUGUCUCUACUAAAAAUACAAAAAUUAACUGGGCGUGGUGUGGUGGCAGGCGCCUGUAAUCCCAGCCACUCAGGAGGCUGAGGUGGAAGUUGCAGUGAGUCAGGAUUGCACCACUGCACUCCAGCCUGGGCAUCAGAGCAAGACUCUGUCUCAAAAACAAACAAACAAACAAACAAACAAAAAGUAGAGACUACUGACUCAGCAUGACCAUAACCAUGGCUCUGUCUUCUAAGGCUCCUUCCACCAUAAAUUUGUUAUCUUAGUUCUCUAACUCAAAGACAAAUUCACAAUCUCAGCCACACAUGCUGUUACAAUGAGCAUAUACAAGGAUCAGGACAGGUAGCAGGCAGAAGUGUGCCCUUGGUCUACUCUCCCUCCUCCUCAUCAUCCCUGCUCAAAAUAGGGAAGUGGAAAGAGUCCCCUCUUAGAAGCAUGGGAAUUAGAACUCCUCGAAUCUUUUGUUUUCACAUUGUAUCAGAGUAAAACAACUAAAAUUUACAUACUAAAACAAGCUAAUCUAUAACUUUGAACAUGACUCUGCAGAAAAAUAAUAAACUUCCCACAGACGUUUUCCACUAGUCAACUAAGCUACUUAAAACAGGCGCAGUGGCUCAUGCCUGUAAUCCCAACACUUUGGGAGACUGAGGCGGGUGGAUUGCCUGAGCUUAGGAGUUUGAGACCAGCCUGGGCAACAUGGCAAAACCCCUUUUUACCAAAAAUACAAAAAAUUAGCCAGGUGUGGUAGUGCAUGCCUGCAGUCCCAGUUACUCGGGAGGCUGAGGUGGGAGGAUCCCUUGAGCCUGGGAGGUGGAGGUUGCAGUGAGCCCAGAUCGUGUCACUGCACUCCAACCUGGGUGACAGACUCCAUCUCAAAAAAAUAAAAAUAAAAAACACCAGGCAGAGAUACUUAAAUAACUUUGCUAGAGCCUUUGAAAAGCUAAGUGCAGAGCUAUCAGAGUAAAUAAAUGUGCCCAGGAAAUAGCUCUAGGGGCUUGACUGGGAGUAAUGGGAGCAGGGUUAUUUUUUAUUUUAUUUUAAGCAAACAUAGCACAGCCUGCACAUGCACAUGUCUGACUUCAAAGCAAUCACUCCAGAAAGAAUACUAGCUUGAAAUAUUUUAGAAAUGUUUUUAGUGGAAUUGUCUUCAGAGGCAGAGAAUAUUCUCUUCAAUAUC